rnacentral:rRNA from 1 species
GGUGAAUGCUGGCGGCGUGCCUAACACAUGCAAGUCGUGCGAGAAAGUUCCUUCGGGGGCGAGUAAAGCGGCGCACGGGUGAGUAACACGUAGGUAACCUGCCCCCCAGUCUGGAACAACUAGAGGAAACUCUAGCUAAUGCCGGAUGAGACCACGAUCCCUUCGGGGGUUGCGGCCAAAGAUGGCCUCUACUUGUAAGCUAUCGCUGAGGGAUGGGCCUGCGGGCCAUUAGCUUGUUGGUGAGGUAACGGCUCACCAAGGCUGUGAUGGCUAGCUGGUCUGAGAGGAUGACCAGCCACACUGGGACUGAGACACGGCCCAGACUCCUACGGGAGGCAGCAGUGGGGAAUAUUGCGCAAUGGGCGAAAGCCUGACGCAGCGACGCCGCGUGGGUGAUGAAGGCCUCGGUCGUAAGACCCGUCGUCGCGA